UUUCCGUAGGUGAACCUGCGGAAGGAUCAUUAUCGUACAAAAUGUGAGGGGCAUGCGAGGGCUGUCGCUGACCCAAAAGUCGUGCACGCCCGAGUGUGUCCUCUUGCAUAAUAAUCCAUCUCACCCUAUGUGCACCACCGCGUGGGUCCCCCUUUGGCUUGUUCGGAGGGGGGCUUACGUUUUCACACAAACUUUGUAUGCAGUGUAGAAUGUAUUUUUUGUUUUUGCGAUCACGCAAUCAAUACAACUUUCAACAACGGAUCUCUUGGCUCUC
rnacentral:misc_RNA from 1 species